CGGGGUGUGGCGCAGCUUGGUAGCGCGCCUCGUUCGGGACGAGGAGGCCGUGGGUUCGAAUCCCGCCACCCCGACCA
rnacentral:tRNA from 1 species